rnacentral:lncRNA from 1 species
AGUGCAAUAAUUCCAUGUAACCAAAAGUAUGAAGUGGACACAGUACAGUUCAAGAACAGGUUCUUCUCCACAAAAAUAAAUUGGCAGACUGAGGCAAAGCUUAUUGAAUUAGCAAGGCUUAUCACCUUAGAGUUGAAAAAUCUGGGAUUGCAAGAGGCAUUGCAAGGGAGAACUUUUGAAAAGGAAUUGUUAUCGAUGUCUUUAGUGCCUAUAUUCUUUGGCUUCGGCAACUAUAAGAAACUAAUGAGGAAGGACAAGCAGCUUGUUCUGCACGGUCUUAACGAGGUUAUCCCGAGGUGGGUGUGCAACAGGAUAGAUGAGGCUGGUGCUAUUUCUUCCCACUCACGGGAUUUGUCUGACUUUAUUUGUCUAGCGGAGGCUUUUUGUUUAUCUGCAGAAAUUACUACAUAACAACCAUUUUUGUCGGUCCUGCCUUUGUUUCAUCUGUAUGAAAUUUGACUUAUGAAGCAUAGCAUAUUUGUGGUAUUGCCCAUGAUU